rnacentral:rRNA from 1 species
ACGGGUACGGGGUGUUAGGGCACGACACCGGAGAGGGAGCCUGAGAAACGGCUACCACAUCCAGGAAGGCAGCAGGCGCGCAAAUUACCCAAUCCCGACAUGGGGAGGUAGUGACAAUAAAUAACAAUACAGGGUUCUUUUGGAUCUUGUAAUUGGAAUGAGUACAAUUUAAAUCUCUUAACGAGGAACAAUUGGAGGGCAAGUCUGGUGCCAGCAGCCGCGGUAAUUCCAGCUCCAAUAGCGUAUAUUAAAGUUGUUGCAGUUAAAAAGCUCGUAGUUGAAUUUCGGGAUCAAGGRAUYGGUCAUGCCUYGGUAUGUACUGGUYUUWUUGGUUCUCACCUUCUAAAGAACCAUNAUGUCAUUNAUUUGAUGUUAUGGGGAAUUAGGACUGUUACCUUGAAAAAAUUAGAGUGUUUAAAGCAAGCUUACGCUUGAAUACAUUAGCAUGGAAUAAUGAAAUAGGACAUCAGAUUCUAUUUUGUUGGUUUCUAGGAUCGAUGUAAUGAUUAAUAGGGAUAGUUGGGGGCAUUAGUAUUCAAUUGUCAGAGGUGAAAUUCUUGGAUUUAUUACUAACUACUGCGAAAGCAUUUGCCAAGGAUGUUUUCAUUAAUCAAGAACGAAAGUUAGGGGAUCGAAGACGAUCAGAUACCGUCGUAGUCUUAACCAUAAACUAUGCCGACUAGGGAUCGGAUGAUGUUAAUUUUUUAAUGACUCAUUCGGCACCUUACGGGAAACCAAAUGUUUUNGGGNUU